rnacentral:rRNA from 1 species
UACGAAGGGGGCUAGCGUUGUUCGGAAUUACUGGGCGUAAAGCGCACGUAGGCGGUUUUCCAAGUUGGAGGUGAAAUCCCUGGGCUUAACCCAGGAACUGCCCCCAAAACUGGAUGACUCGAGUCCGAGAGAGGUGAGUGGAAUUUCCAGUGUAGAGGUGAAAUUCGUAGAUAUUGGAAAGAACACCAGUGGCGAAGGCGGCUCACUGGCUCGGUACUGACGCUGAGGUGCGACAGCGUGGGGAGCAAACAGGAUUAGAUACCCUGGUAGUCCACGCCGUAAACGAUGGGUGCUAGUUGUCAGGCAGCUUGCUGUUUGGUGACGCAGCUAACGCAUUAAGCACCCCGCCUGGGGAGUACGGUCGCAAGAUUAAA